GGUGUGUGGGAGAGCUGGUAGUUGGUAUGGAUGGGAGGUGUGUGGGAGAGCUGGUAGUUGGUAUGGAUGGGAGGUGUGUGGGAGAGCUGGUAGCAGGUAGUUGGUAUGGAUGGGAGGUGUGUGGGAGAGCUGGUAGCAGGUAGUUGGUAUGGAUGGGAGGUGUGUGGGAGAGCUGGUAGCAGGUAGUUGGUAUGGAUGGGAGGUGUGUGGGAGAGCUGGUAGUUGGUAUGGAUGGGAGGUGUGUGGGAGAGCUGGUAGUUGGUAUGGAUGGGAGGUGUGUGGGAGAGCUGGUAGCAGGUAGUUGGUAUGGAUGGGAGGUGUGUGGGAGAGCUGGUAGCAGGUAGUUGGUAUGGAUGGGAGGUGUGUGGGAGAGCUGGUAGUUGGUAUGGAUGGGAGGUGUGUGGGAGAGCUGGUAGCAGGUAGUUGGUAUGGAUGGGAGGUGUGUGGGAGAGCUGGUAGCAGGUAGUUGGUAUGGAUGGGAGGUGUGUGGGAGAGCUGGUAGUUGGUAUGGAUGGGAGGUGUGUGGGAGAGCUGGUAGUUGGUAUGGAUGGGAGGUGUGUGGGAGAGCUGGUAGUUGGUAGUUGGUAUGGAUGGGAGGUGUGUGGGAGAGCUGGUAGUUGGUAUGGAUGGGAGGUGUGUGGGAGAGCUGGUAGUUGGUAUGGAUGGAAGGUGUGUGGGAGAGCUGGUAGCUGGUAGUUGGUAUGGAUGGGAGGUGUGUGGGAGAGCUGGUAGUUGGUAGUUGGUAUGGAUGGAAGGUGUGUGGGAGAGCUGGUAGCAGGUAGUUGGUAUGGAUGGGAGGUGUGUGGGAGAGCUGGUAGCAGGUAGUUGGUAUGGAUGGGAGGUGUGUGGGAGAGCUGGUAGUUGGUAUGGAUGGGAGGUGUGUGUUAGGUGUGUAUGGU